CACGUAGGGCGCGAGCGUUGUCCGGAAUUAUUGGGCGUAAAGAGCUCGUAGGCGGCCUGUUGCGUCCGCUGUGAAAGCCCGGGGCUUAACCCCGGGUCGGCAGUGGAUACGGGCAGGCUAGAGGUAGGUAGGGGAGAAUGGAAUUCCCGGUGUAGCGGUGAAAUGCGCAGAUAUCGGGAGGAACACCGGUGGCGAAGGCGGCGUGCUGGACCUUUUCUGACGCUGAGGCGCGAAAGCUAGGGGAGCAAACGGG
rnacentral:rRNA from 1 species